GAUGAACGCUAGCUACAGGCUUAACACAUGCGAGUCGCGGGGCAGCAUGGGGGUUGCUUGCAAUCCCCGAUGGCGACCGGCGCACGGGUGAGUAACGCGUAUCCAACCUGCCCUUCACCACGGGAUAACCCGGCGAAAGUCGGACUAAUACCGUAUGUUGUCCAUUGACGGCAUCCGAUUUGGACGAAAGGUUUGGCGGUGAAGGAUGGGGAUGCGUCCGAUUAGCUGGACGGCGGGGUGACGGCCCACCGUGGCGACGAUCGGUAGGGGUUCUGAGAGGAAGGUCCCCACACUGGAACUGAGACACGGUCCAGACUCCUACGGGAGGCAGCAGUGAGGAAUAUUGGUCAAUGGGCGUAAGCCUGAACCAGCCAAGUAGCGUGCAGGAUGACGGCCCUAUGGGUUGUAAACUGCUUUUAUGCGGGGAUAAAGUGGCCCACGUGUGGGUUUUUGCAGGUACCGCAUGAAUAAGGACCGGCUAAUUCCGUG
rnacentral:rRNA from 1 species